GACGAACGCUGGCGGCGUGCCUAAUACAUGCAAGUAGAACGCUGAAGGAGGAGCUUGCUUCUCUGGAUGAGUUGCGAACGGGUGAGUAACGCGUAGGUAACCUGCCUGGUAGCGGGGGAUAACUAUUGGAAACGAUAGCUAAUACCGCAUAAUAGCAGUUGUUGCAUGAUAACUGUUUGAAAGGUGCAAUUGCACCACUACCAGAUGGACCUGCGUUGUAUUAGCUAGUUGGUGGGGUAACGGCUCACCAAGGCGACGAUACAUAGCCGACCUGAGAGGGUGAUCGGCCACACUGGGACUGAGACACGGCCCAGACUCCUACGGGAGGCAGCAGUAGGGAAUCUUCGGCCAUGGACGGAAGUCUGACCGAGCAACGCCGCGUGAGUGAAGAAGGUUUUCGGAUCGUAAAGCUCUGUUGUAAGAGAAGAACGAGUGUGAGAGUGGAAAGUUCACACUGUGACGGUAUCUUACCAGAAAGGGACGGCUAACUACGUG
rnacentral:rRNA from 1 species